rnacentral:lncRNA from 1 species
GAUCUUUGUGUUGUAUUAUAAUUUAAAGCAUUUCGCAAAACAAAAGAAAUCUUUUCCUAUCUCCCCUAAUAAUAAAGCACCGAUGGCUUCUGCCGUCCGUCAUGGCAUUUUUGCAGAAAGGCCCAUGUAGUUUCCUUUAAUUAACCCGCAGUCCGUUAAUAAGUGAGGUCGAACCGUUUUUUUUUUCACAUUUUACACAAAACCCCUUGCUUUCAUGCUAAAUAACCAGCCGUCUAUAUUACGUGGGUCAGGAAG